UACGUAGGUGGCGAGCGUUAUCCGGAUUUAUUGGGCGUAAAGCGUGCGUAGGCGGUUUGUUAAGUCUGAGAUUAAAGCCUGUGGCUUAACCACAGUUCGUUUCAGAUACUGGCAGGCUAGAGUGCGGUAGAGGCAAAUGGAAUUCCUAGUGUAGCGGUGAAAUGCGUAGAUAUUAGGAGGAACAUCAGUGGCGAAGGCGAUUUGCUGGGCCGUAACUGACGCUGAGGCACGAAAGCGUGGGGAGC
rnacentral:rRNA from 1 species